rnacentral:lncRNA from 1 species
CAAAAUCUAGUAAAAUAAUGUUAUAUUUUAAUUAAACUGCCAGAUACACUUCUCUAAUACUUUUCCCCCCUACAUUUUGGGGCUACAUUCUCUUUUAUCAUUUCUUCAUGUGACAACAAUUUUUUUGCAUUUUAUAUAGAGAGAAUAAAAUGAUAAUCCAGACCUUCCAACAUGGUUGAUUAAAAUUUAUUUUUUUAUUAUUGAUAGUUUGGAACAGUUUUAGGUAUAUAAAUAGCUAUUGUUAAUACUAUAAUACACUUUGAUUGUUGUCAAAUUUGGUAAAGGCUCUAUUAAGUUUCUUUUUUUUUUUUUUUUUUGAGAUGAAGUCUCACUCUGUCACUCAGGCUGGAGUGCAGUGGCAAGAUCUUGGUUCACUGCAACCUCUGCCUCCCGGGUUCAAGCGAUUCUCCUGCUUCAGCCUCCCGAGUAGAUGGGAUUACAGGUGCCUGCCAUCACGCCUGGUUAAUUUCUGUAUUUUUAGUAGAGAUGGAGUUUCACUUGUUGGCCAGGCUGGUCUUGAACUCCUGACCUCAGGUGAUCUGCCUGUCUCGGCCUCCCGAUGUAUUGGGAUUACAGGCGUGAGCCACCGCGUCCAGCUAUUAAGUUUCUUUUAAUUAUGAGCUGU